ACAAUAAAAUACUGUCGAACUAAGUUAUGUAAAAAUAAUCUUUUUUUUUUUCUAUGUUAGUCGUUUCGAGAGGUCAAAUCGUUGUUGACGUUGGUAUUAACGUUAGUUAUAAAAUGUGAUUAUUGUAAAGUUAAUAUAAUUUAUGAUGUUGAGGUGGAACCAAUCUGUACUUUUAAGAAUAGUGAAGGGUUAAUUACAUAGACCAAUAAUAUUAGUCCUACUAGUACUAAUAAUAGUUUUCGUGUUGUUUUUUUUUAAUAUAAAAACCUGCUUUAAUGCAGAAACUACGAAAGGUGCAUUGUAUGAACGUUUGGAUGCCAUCAGUGUUCAACUUUUUUUCGAAGUUCGUUUUUGUAUGUCUAACAUUAGGCUUAACGUUAUUGAGUACUGAGACUGGUGUUAAAAUAUGUGGUAGCAUUCCAUUAGUAAUCAAUUAUACAGCAUCGUUGGAGGUUCAUCAUCAGUGUAGCUCACAACAUGAUUGUACUCAUCUGAAAGGCUAUGUCUGGUGCAACCCUUUUGGUAAUAAAUGUGAAUGUGAAAGAGGAACAUUUAUGUUAAGUUCAAGCUAUAAGUGUGUUAAAGUAGCCAGGCUCCAUGAUGUGUGUGAAUCACCAGAACAGUGUAAGAAAUGGGACCCAUUGUCUACAUGUACUCUGACCUAUGAGUCCAAUAUCUUAUCCUCUGCAUGCAAGUGUGAUACAAACUACCAAGAAGAGAUUGGUUUUAACAAAACAACAUGUGUCAUUCAGAGAUCAUUUUUUCCCAAAAAUGGGAUUCACCAACAUUUUGACACCAGAGACUCUGUGCCUAUAUUAAUGGGAUGUGUUGCUGCAGGCUUGGCUCUUCUUGCAUGCAGUGCUGGAAUAGCUCAGCUUUUGAGAAAACGACACCAGCAGUUUCGAUCUGGUCCAGUUAAUCAUGAAGAAGAAACUAGUAAUCUACAGAGGAUAUCUAUGGUUUCAACAAGGUCUACACGUCCUACGACAACAACAAUAACCACCCAGCCAGCAGAGGAAAUAUCUCUCGCUCACAUCAAUCAAGAGGACCUCCCACCAAGUUAUGAGGAGGCUAUCAAGUAUUCCUCUCCAGUAACUUUGUUGCCUCAUUCAGAAAAAGAAGAGCAACAGGCGUAAUGUUCUGUCGAGCAAAUCGUACUCCCUCAUAACGAAGAAAAGGCCAAUAAGGAUUUAAUCAUUGUAAUUGUAAUUGGUGUCGUCAUUGUUCUUAAUACUUUUACCUUUUGGAUGUGUGGGCUAUGCAGUUUUAUCACGAGUUGAAACAUGUAUGAUGAUCUCAUCAUGGUUGUUGUUCCACUAUGAUGUCAUGUCCGCCUCUCAUAGUGGACUAGCACUCUCUGGUGCCACUUCAUGGAACUAUGGCGUCAUCGUCUCUACCUCUUCCCUUCCCCUCCCCAUUGCCUCAGGUGGACAUGCGUGUAGCGCCCUCUAGCGGCGUGUUGCACGGUCCCUGCCUUAACUACUCAAGAUUUCAUUUUGAAAAAUCCAACUCUUAAAUAGGAUAGAC
rnacentral:misc_RNA from 1 species